UACGUAGGGUGCAAACGUUGCUCGGAAUCAUUGGGCGUAAAGCGCGCGUAGGCGGCUAUGAGAGUUGGAUGUGAAAGCCCUGGGCUCAACCCAGGAUGUGCAUUCAAAACUUCAUGGCUUGAGUAUCGGAGGGACCCAGAGAAUUCCCGGUGUAGAGGUGAAAUUCGUAGAUAUCGGGAGGAAUACCAGUGGCGAAGGCGCUGGGCUGGACGAGUACUGACGCUGAGGUGCGAAAGCGUGGGGAGCAAACAGG
rnacentral:rRNA from 1 species